AGGAGCGCAGAGAAGGACGCUGUGGGUGAAGUGGAGGAGAGAGGAGAGAGGAGAAGAGAGUGGAGGCAUGUGAGGAGCGCAGCUUUGAGAGGGGGCUGGCAGCCGCUCCUUCUCUCCGACGCGCACCCAUCUCCAGAGACCCGAGAGAGGGGAGGAGAGAAGAGAGGAGAGAGAGGAGUCAGUGCCAGGAGAGCCCUCACACUCAUUCAUUUUCAUAUUUACACGCCACAUGUUUGCAUGUCUGGGAGAAAGUAAAGAAAGAGAGAAGGAGAAGGAGAAGGAGGAGAGGAAUCACCUCCGCGCGCCCUCUGCGCACGAGGCGUCGCGUUUAUUCCGCACUUUUUUACUCCACGUUUAACAGCGCGGGGCGCAGCGCCAGCUCCUGCUGCCACACACACACACACACACACACACACACACACACCUGAGCCGAAAGUGAGAAGUGACAGUCUGCCUCACACUGGAACCGUUUGAGGCAGAUGGUUGACUAAUAUGGUACCAGGAACGUAUAGAACGGUUUUAUUUCUACCGAUAUGUUCAAUGGGUUUUGUUUUCACCGUCACAUUAGCCUCAUACUGGAGAAAACUGUUCAUGUUUGAGCCGAACGUUAGAACCGUUACUUAACGCAUGUGGUUCGGUGAUGUGAAAAAAGUUGCAGGAAAAAAAGUGUUUAAAUGAUCACGUGAAAAAGGAGUGUGAAAUUAUAUAUAUUUUAAUUUUAUUAAAACUAUUUAAAUGUUUUAUCAACUUUUAGCGCUUCUAUAUAUUAUUUAAAAAUUAUAUAUAUAUAUAUAUUUUUUUUUUUUUUUAAUUAGGCGACGACGAACCUUCUCGUCUUUUCCAUUCCAAACUCCGGUCAAGCAGACUCCUCUCCAUCACUGCAGGCCCUUUCUGUUUUAUGUAUAAAAUAAAUAAGAGUUUAUUUAAGUCCGUGAUUAAAAAAUGCAAAUGUGCUCCUGUUGUUAAUAGACAGGGAGAGGGGACGGUUUGAUUUCUUGGACAUGUUUAAGGAACAGAGCCUGCAGCAGAAUCAGAGGACGGAGACAGAAACAGACAGAACAGCUUCUUAUUUUCACCCUCACAACAUUUUUAAUUGAUUUCCAGCUGCAACUGUGGACACACUGUGGUGUAAGAAAAAAAAGAAA